rnacentral:rRNA from 1 species
AAGCUCGUAGUUGAAUUUCGAAUGUGGCUGGGCGGUCCGCCUCACGGUGUGUACUGUCUGGCUGUGUUCUCUUUCUUGGUGAGCCGGCAUGCCCUUUACUGGGUGUGUUGGGGAACCAGGACGUUUACCUUGAGAAAAUUAGAGUGUUCAAAGCAGGCCUACGCCCGAAUACAUUAGCAUGGCAUAAUAAAAUAGGACGUGCGGUUCUAUUUUGUUGGUUUCUAGAGCCGCAGUAAUGAUUAANAGGGAUAGUUGG